rnacentral:lncRNA from 1 species
GUUGUUGUGGUCUUGUACUCUUGUUCGACUUCUUCAAUCUUCAUAAGGUUAAAGGUAUGUGGAUUGGAUGGGAGAGGAUGAUGUGGCGCUGAGCUAGCAGUCUGGGAUCAUGGAUGAAAGAUGAGUAUAACUAGUGGCCUAAACACCAUUUGUAGCGAUUGCGAGAGACCAAGAUAAAAGAGAUGGUUUCCAAUCAGUUAACCAUGAUGUAUUAAGGUGUGUUACUUUAAUUUAUGAUUAAAGAGUAAUAACUUAUAGAGGCCAGUUAACGUAUAAUACGGCUUAACGUACAUCACGUACGACAGAUAAUUACGCAUGUUCAUUUGAAAAUCACGCACGUUAUAAAUUAAAUAACCCAAAUCACACAUGUUGGAAAACAUUAAUCAAGCAUGAUGAAAACAUUAAUUGUUGGAAAUUUUCAUGAAAAUAAGUUUUCACUAAAUAUUUUGGACAUCAAUAAUUAUAUUUAUAUAUGUGUGGUAUAAAUAAUAAUUAGUGGGUUUGUGUUCUAUGUUGUGAGAGCAUCAUAAUAAUGAAUCAAACUAUGUACAAAAUGGAGCUAAGAUGAAUAGAAUAUCGAUGCUCGAAGUUGGGUGAUUGAAGUGAAUAUUUCUAAACUUUAGUGACUCUAGUAUAAAUUCAUCUUUGUCAUAAAUUGAUGGUUUUAUGACUUUUAAUCUCUAUUCAAGAGUCAUG